ensembl:lncRNA
AAGAUUUUGAAUAUUUUUGACCCAUGACUGGUUGAAUGCUCGGAUAAAGAACCCACAGAUGUAGAGGACCACAUGUACUGAGUCUUACAUGCUUUACUAAGUACUCUCAGGACUCUGGUGAUGAAGGAAAUUGGUAAAUAGAAGAAAAACUUGGAUUUGGAAGACACUGUUUAGAGUGAAAUGCAUCUGGCACUGGGGAAAGACUGUCUCCUAAUAGACAGAAAACACCUGAAACUGAGCAGCAGCUUCCCAGUAAGAUCUCAGGAAUGUGAAGAAGUAAUGCAAGAUCCCAGAAGUGUGCCAAGGUAUAAAACCCCAAGUCAGGGUCAAGCUGGGCACUUGGUUUCUCAAGUCACCAGCUUGGCCCUCUUCCAAGUUGUCCUUUCCUUCUUUUCUUUCCUUCCUUUCCUUCCUGUGCUAAACCUUUUUAAUAAACUUUCACUACUGAUCUGAAACUUCUCUUGGCCUCUUUUUCUGCUUUAUGCCCCUCGUCGAAUUCUUUCUUCGGAGAAGGUGAAGAGCUGAAGUUGCUGUGGACCUGUACAGAUACACUGCUGGUAACUCGGAGUAACCUGGAUCUCUGCCACCCUAACAACGAUAGGUAGGUGUCUGGUUUCAUUUUCUGCAUAUGAUUAUCCAGUUAUCCUAGAAGCAUUUAUUGAAUAGGGAGUCCUUUCUUGAUUGCUUAUUUUUGUCAACCUGGAUGAAGAUUGGUUGAUUGUAGGUGUGCAGCUUUAUACUGAUCUGUGUGUCUGUUUUUGUACCAGUAGCUUGCUGUUUUGGUUACUGUUAUGCUCCAUUCUUAAGUGCCAUUGAAUAUUUAUGCAGAGUGCUCCUUUUCAGGAAAUAUUCUUAUUGCUACCUAGCAAAGUCCUACCUCAUUCUUCCAAGCACAUCCCAAAUUUGGAUACUGCCUUUUCUGUUUUUCUCUCUCCUCCAAAAGCUCAUUGCAUUUUGACUUUAUUAAAGAACCUUCAGAUAGCGCAGACCUAUACUGGACCUUAGAGAUAACUAUUAUACAGCUAUCAUAGUCUACUCUACAUAUAGAAGGCAACAUUCUAUUUUGCCACUCAUAUGACCAAUUAUGGUUAAUUCUAUCAGAAUGAGAGUUUUGCAAGGCUCUUCCUGAAUCCUUUUUCACCUCUUGAAGACAGGAUAUGUGCAUCUGCAAAAACCUCUGUCACAAUACACAUCAGGUGACACUGAACCUCCUUGCUGGUUUUCCAGUGCUUUCUCUAGUUCAGAAUCUUCUGAUGUCUUUUUUUUUUUUUUUUUUUUUUUUUUUUGCUGUACACACAUAGCUUUGUACAGGGCCUGACAAAUGGAAGACAUUCAACAAAUGACUGUGGAAUGAAUCAAUACAUCAUCUGAUUGUUGAAUUACUCUUCAAGUCAAUUUUUCAUGACUCUUAUGCCUCAUAAAUAGAAUUAAAAUAAGAAAUAUCUCAUGCUAGAUUUGAGUGUGCUUCCUAAAACUGCAAAAUUUUCUUGUUUUGUUUCUGUGCUUCAUUUCCCUAGAAAAUAAGAUGCCAUCUUACACCAGUCAGAAUGGCUGUUAUUAGAUAGGAAACAAUAUAUAUAUAAUGCUGGCAGGGGUGUGGAGAAAAGGGAAUGCUUAUGCACUGUGAUGGGAAUGUAAACUAGUUCAGCUAUUGUGGAAAGAAGUUUGGUGAUUUCUCAAAGGACUUAAAACAGAAUUAUCAUUUGACCCAGCAAUCCCAUUACUGGGCAUUAACCCAAAGGAAUAUAAAUUGUUCUACCAUAAAGACAUAUCCACAUAUAUGUUCGUUGCAACACUCUUCAUAAUAGC